rnacentral:misc_RNA from 1 species
CACCAAAAAGGUGCCCCUCUGUUCUCCCCCUCCGGGCGCAGGGUACCUUUCAGACCAAGGCCGCUUUCCCCUUCCAUUUAUCUCAUAGCCAUACAUACGCAGACACACACCAGCACACAGGCGGAGUGACUGAAAGAAGAGGAUCACGUCUCUCGCCGCCCCCCCUCCUCCUCCCCCCUUUCCCGCCUCACCUCACCCCUUCACCACCGCCGCGCUGCUCCCCUUUCCCCAGAGCGAGCAGCGCUUUGCACUCAUCAGCGUCGCGUGUUUCUGCUGGAUUCAUCUUUGUGAUUCACAGCGUGCGCCUUCCACCCCGCCCCCCCCCCCCCUGGCCCUCUCUUCCUGUCCCACCAUGUCACGGCAGUUCUCCUCUAGCGAGACGCUCGACUCAUCGCAGCAGCGUCUCGAGGCAGCUCGCUACGCGGCAUCGACGGAGGAGGAGAGCAGUUUGCCGGAAAGCGGAGACUACGAUCGCCGCUCGCCGGAGACAGGGCACUACAGCUCACGCCCGGGCCACCUUCAGCGCGUGCCGUCUAAACAGAUCACCAGCGUUAGCCCGUCGUGGCGUAAGGUGCUCUACGAGCGACAGCCUUUUGAGGACAACUACGUCGACCCACAGCAGUUCUUGGAGGAGUUGAGUCAUAACAAGGACAUCAAGAACUACGAGUACGCGACCGUCGUCAUCAAUACCCUCGCCAUCACACAGGAGAUCUCGAUCGUUGUGCUCUUCUGCCACGCCUUCAUGGGUGUCUUCACGAACUCGAUUGGCAAGUACUCACUCCUGUGGAUUGAUGUGCUGAGCGUGCUCGCCGCGCUUGUGUGCUACGUGUUUUACCAGUGCCACCAAGACGCCUGCAAGGAGACGGCGGAGCGACCCGCCAGCCUGAGCACGCGCUGUUCACCGCCGCCGCGGCAGCCAUCGCGGUGGCUCUUUCACGCGUGGAACUUUGGCCGACAGGUUGUCAGCCUCGUCACAAUGCUCGCCCUGCUCAGCCCCAUCUUCAGCACCCUCACUGUCACCUACAGCGACGACACCAUCGUGACGCUGUCCAUCCUCACCAUGUCCCUGCACGUGCUGUUGACGGACUACAGCUAUCUGAACGCCUACACCCAGCGCUUCGACCCUAACUUGUCCGUUAACAUGGCCAUCUACUGCGUGACCCUCAUGGCCUCACGCAUCUCCAGCCCUCUAGCGAGCGGGGCCCUCAUCUGCUUUGGCAUCAUGUGCUUCUCGCUCUCCCCGAUCGUCCGUCACCUCGUUAAGCACUACUCCUUCACUGCCCACGUCGCCAUCACAUUCGGCCUCGUUGGCCUGGCGAUCGGGUGCCUGACCCAGAUCCCGAUCCUGGCCAUCUUGUACACCGUGACGGUGCUUAUGAUCUCGUUUGGCAUUCCGUGGCUCUUUGUGCGCAUGCACAGCAGCGUCAAGACCCAAAUCAAUGGCCCCUGGGACGAGGCGAAGCCCACCAACAGCGCCGCCGCGGCGGAGUGGGCCAACUCUGGCUUUUUAGCGUGAGCAGUUACCGCUGCGAAUCAUCUGACGGCGUUUGGAUUGCGUGCUGGCGGUGUCUGACGAGGUUUGCGGGGCCGCUUUUCUUUUUGCAUGGAUGCCUACGUUGGCGCCUGUCGCGUGAGCUGCUACCUUCUUUUUCUUUCAUUGUUGGCGUGCCCCCUCGCGUCCCGCAGUGUGUUUGGCUCGUCACCACGACCCCUGUGCGUAGAGGAUAAGCCGCGAAACACAACAGCUAGUAACAACAACGAAAAAGACGCGCACCAGAUGCUUGAGGGAAGUGCGCCCAUGCACGUGGAUUGCUCACUAGGACUGCGACUUUUCCGUCGUUGCCACUCCCAGAAGCAAUGAUUUUAUCUCGAAAGCGUUUUAGCUCUCUCUCUCUCUGUCUCUUGCUCGUUGGCCAACCAAUCUUCGUGCGUAUGCUAUCGCGUAAGACGUGCGCCGAGC